rnacentral:rRNA from 1 species
ACGAGGGUGGACAGGUGGUGGCAUGGUUGUCGUCAGCUCGUGUCGUGAGAUGUGGGUUAAGUCCCGCAACGAGCGCAACCCUCGACCUUAGUUGCCAGCAUUCAGUUGGGCACUCUAAGGUGACUGCCGGCUAAAAGUCGGAGGAAGGUGGGGAUGACGUCAAAUCAUCAUGCCCCUUAUGACCUGGGCUACACACGUGCUACAAUGGGCGGUACAAAGGGUCGCGAACCCGCGAGGGGGAGCCAAUCCCAAAAAGCCGCUCUCAGUUCGGAUUGCAGGCUGCAACUCGCCUGCAUGAAGCCGGAAUCGCUAGUAAUCGCGGAUCAGCAUGCCGCGGUGAAUACGUUCCCGGGCCUU